CACCCUGUCAGCCACUCUCUCUCCCUGUUACUCUCACCCUUCUCUCUACGCCAUUUUCCCAGUCUCUCUGCCCCCGUCAACUACUCUCUCUCCCUGUUACCCUCACCCUUCUCUCUCUACGCUCAGCCAGUACCCAUUUUGCUACUCUCUCUCCCUGUUACCCUCACCCUUCUCGUUCUACACUCAGCCAUUACUUCUCUCUCUACGCUCAGAGACCAUAGCAGCUCUCUCCACACCAGCAACUACUAUACCCUCUCGCCACACAGAGGUCGAAAAGAUGUGCCUCCUUGCUGUUGCAGGUCGAAAAGAUACGCCACAGAAGAUGCAACAAAUUUUUUGAAGAAGAUUUUAUUGUAUGGAAAUGAUUCAAGAGUAAAAGAUUCAACAGUCAUUUUUUGUUUUUAGCUUAUGUAAAUGUCAUGUGCUAAUUGUGUUGUAUGGACAUGGGGACAUUAAAGAGUCAUUUUUUCAGUAAACUAACAGUGUUGAAUCAAAGAGUCAUUUUUUGUCAUGUGGUGAAUGUGCUGAUUGUGUUGUAAGCACGAUGUUUGAAGUGACGGUGUUUGUUAUAGAGGGGCUAUUGUUCGAAAUCCAUCAUUUUUGUACGAGCUGAAAUUUGAAUGGGAAACUGAAAAGUGAUAUUGAAAUUGAAAA